GAUGAACGCUGGCGGCGUGCCUAAUACAUGCAAGUCGAGCGAACAGACGAGGAGCUUGCUCCUCUGACGUUAGCGGCGGACGGGUGAGUAACACGUGGAUAACCUACCUAUAAGACUGGGAUAACUUCGGGAAACCGGAGCUAAUACCGGAUAAUAUAUUGAACCGCAUGGUUCAAUAGUGAAAGACGGUUUUGCUGUCACUUAUAGAUGGAUCCGCGCCGCAUUAGCUAGUUGGUAAGGUAACGGCUUACCAAGGCGACGAUGCGUAGCCGACCUGAGAGGGUGAUCGGCCAAACUGGACCUGAGACACGGUCCAGACUCCUACGGGAGGCAGCAGUAGGGAAUCUUCCGCAAUGGGCGAAAGCCUGACGGAGCAACGCCGCGUGAGUGAUGAAGGUCUUCGGAUCGUAAAACUCUGUUAUUAGGGAAGAACAAAUGUGUAAGUAACUAUGCACGUCUUGACGGUACCGAAUCAGAAAGCCACGGCUAACUACGU
rnacentral:rRNA from 1 species